AGGAGGGGCCACUCGGACCUGGUAGUCCUUCUCUCUGAAGAGAAGUCACCGCAGAGUCAAGACCUGAAAGGAGAUGAGCAAUUCAGAGGUGCCGGGAACAAUCUCGGGAACUGCACGACUGCCACCAAGCAGCCCAGAGCAGUUCUUGAUCGAAUGAUGACGGCUGCACAGAAGAGGCCCCCAUGGCAUGACUUGCUUGGCCAGACCUCCCUCCCCAGAAUAGCUGGAAGAGGAGGGCCCUACG